rnacentral:rRNA from 1 species
GUAGGGUGCAAGCGUUAAUCGGAAUUACUGGGCGUAAAGCGUGCGCAGGCGGUUUUGUAAGUCUGACGUGAAAUCCCCGGGCUUAACCUGGGAAUUGCGUUGGAGACUGCAAGGCUGGAGUCUGGCAGAGGGGGGGUAGAAUUCCACGUGUAGCAGUGAAAUGCGUAGAGAUGUGGAGGAACACCGAUGGCGAAGGCAGCCCCCUGGGUCAAGACUGACGCUCAUGCACGAAAGCGUGGGGAGCAAACAGGGAUUAGAUGCCCUGGUAGUCCACGCCCUAAACGAUGUCUACUAGUUGUCGGGUCUUAAUUGACUUGGUAACGCAGCUAACGCGUGAAGUAGACCGCCUGGGGAGUACGGUCGCAAGAUUA